rnacentral:rRNA from 1 species
UACAGAGGAUGCAAGCGUUAUCCGGAAUCAUUGGGCGUAAAGCGCGCGUAGGUGGCUUCGUAAGUCCGUUGUGAAAGUCAAAGGCUCAACCUUUGAAAGCCGAUGGAUACUGUGAAGCUAGAGUACGGAAGAGGCGAGUGGAAUUCCUGGUGUAACGGUGGAAUGCGCAGAUAUCAGGAGGAACACCAAUAGCGAAGGCAGCCUUCUGGGCCAACACUGACGCUCAUGCACGAAAGCGUGGGGAGCAAACAGG